rnacentral:rRNA from 1 species
UACGUAGGGUGCAAGCGUUAAUCGGAAUUACUGGGCGUAAAGCGCGCGCAGGCGGCUAUCCAAGUCAGUGGUGAAAGCCCGGAGCUCAACUCCGGAACUGCCAUUGAAACUGUUUAGCUGGAGUAUGAGAGAGGUGAGUGGAAUUCCCAGUGUAGAGGUGAAAUUCGUAGAUAUUCGGAAGAACACCAGUGGCGAAGGCGACUUACUGGACACAUAUUGACGCUGAGGUGCGAAAGCGUGGGGAGCAAACAGG